rnacentral:rRNA from 1 species
AUUGAACGCUGGCGGCAUGCCUUACACAUGCAAGUCGAACGGCAGCACGGGAGCAAUCCUGGUGGCGAGUGGCGAUCGGGUGAGUAAUGUAUCGGAACGUACCUUUCAGUGGGGGAUAACGUAGCGAAAGUUACGCUAAUACCGCAUAUUCUGUGAGCAGGAAAGCAGGGGAUCGCAAGACCUUGCGCUGAUUGAGCGGCCGAUAUCAGAUUAGCUAGUUGGUGAGGUAAAGGCUCACCAAGGCGACGAUCUGUAGCGGGUCUGAGAGGAUGAUCCGCCACACUGGAACUGAGACACGGUCCAGACUCCUACGGGAGGCAGCAGUGGGGAAUUUUGGACAAUGGGCGCAAGCCUGAUCCAGCCAUGCCGCGUGAGUGAAGAAGGCCUCGGUU